GAGUAGUUAAAUGGCCGCGGUAAUUUGACCGUGCAAAGGUAGCAUAAUCAUUAGUUUUUUAAUUGAAAGCUGGAAUGAAUGGUCGGACGAGAAAGUUACUGUCUCGAUUUAAUUUUUAUUAGAAUUUUAUUUAUAAGUAAAAAAGCUUAUAUGGUUUUAAAAGACGAGAAGACCCUAUAGAAUUUUAUAACUGAUUUGGUGUAUUAUGAAUAGUAUUUUAAAUUUUACAUUUAUUUAGUUAUUUUGUUGGGGCGAUUGAAAAAUUUAAUUAACUUUUUUUAUACUUUUUCAUUGAUUUAUGUGUUUUUGAUCCACUUGUUGUGAUUAUAAGAAAAAAUUACCUUAGGGAUAACAGCGUAAUUUUUCUUUAGAGUUCUUAUCGAAAGGAGAGUUUGCGACCUCGAUGUUGGAUUAAAAUUAACUUUUGGUGCAGGGGCUAAAAGGUUAGGUCUGUUCGACCUUUAAAAUUUUACAUGAUCUGAGUUUAAACCGGCGUGAGCCAGGUUGGUUUCUAUCUUUAAAUUAAUUAGAUAUUUUAGUACGAAAGGAUUUGAUGUCUGUAAUAUUUACUAUUGUUUGAAUGUUAUUAAA
rnacentral:rRNA from 1 species